rnacentral:rRNA from 1 species
GACGAACGCUGGCGGCGUGCUUAACACAUGCAAGUCGAACGAAAAGAGGGAAAGAGCUUGCUCUUUCCGGAAUUGAGUGGCAAACGGGUGAGUAACACGUAAACAACCUGCCUUCAGGAUGGGGACAACAGACGGAAACGACUGCUAAUACCGAAUAAGUUCCAAGGGCCGCAUGGCCCAUGGAAGAAAAGGUGGCCUCUACCUGUAAGCUAUCGCCUGAAGAGGGGUUUGCGUCUGAUUAGCUGGUUGGAGGGGUAACGGCCCACCAAGGCGACGAUCAGUAGCCGGUCUGAGAGGAUGAACGGCCACAAUGGAAUUGAGACACGGUCCAGACUCCUACGGGAGGCAGCAGUGGGGAAUCUUCCGCAAUGGGCGAAAGCCUGACGGAGCAACGCCGCGUGAGUGAUGACGGCCUUCGGGUUGUAAAACUCUGUGAUCCGGGACGAAAAGGCAGAGUGCGAAGAACAAACUGCAUUGACGGUACCGGAAAAGCAAGCCACGGCUAACUACGUG